ACGUGAUUCGUACCAAAUUUAUUGUGUAUCAAUAGUCAUUUAUUGUGUAUCAAUAUGUAGUAGAAAUUAAAUAAUAAUAAUAAUAAUAAUAAUAAUAAUAAUAAAUAAUAUAAAAAAAUAAAGUAAAAAAAAAAAGAAAAUUAAACCCACAUGUAUUCACGUGAACCCACCCCCCUUAAGGCUUUUCUUCUUCCUUAUUAAAACCCAAAAACAAAGAAAAUUCAAGAACCCAGAAUACCGAAAACCAAAAUUCAUCAGCGGCCAUCGGACGGCGGCCACCGAACCGCUCACCAGGUCGCACCAGUUUGUCAGCCGACCUCGCCAUAAGUGGCUCCUUAUUCGACCAACACACAGUUUUUGGUCUUCUUCUCCAUUAAUAAGGUAUACCCAUUAAAUUGAAAUUUUCAAUCAAGUUUAAAGGUAAGAAGAUGGUGUGAAGAAAUUUACCAUGGAAAAUGAAAGGAUUGAACCUCUUGAGGAUGACUUUAAGUCAAAAUGAAAAAUUUUGGUUUAUCCGAUUUACAAUCGGAACUGUGUCAGAUUUUUUGCAGAAAUUUGUAUAUUUUAAUUCAUUUCAAAUGAUUCUUAUAAUGUAA